CUUCUCCGCUUCAGCUUCUCCGGAUUGUGGGAUGCCAUGUGGGAAAACUCUCGGAAAAUAUCCAGGGUAUUUCUACUGUCUGGUAACCAUGACAACAGUUGGAACUUCGCAGGGGACAAAAGGGGUUGCUCUGAACGCUCUGCCAAACUGUGCGAGUUUCUCAUGCCUGAUUUACAAUGAAGAGACUGUCCCGUCAGCCCGCAGGCACUCAUGCAGAAGAGCCGUUUAAAGAGAUAUUCACUUUUACAUGGAGAUGUGUUUUGUGAAACAGCUGUACUUCUUUUGUCAACACUGUACAUAUAUACAUACAGUUGAAGUCAGAAUUAUUGGCCCCCCUGAAUUAUUAGUCCCCUGUUUGUUUAUUUUUUUCCCAAUUUCUGUUAAACAGAGAGGAGAUGUUUAUAAUACAU
rnacentral:lncRNA from 1 species